GCCCUGGUGGCACAGUGGUUAAAUGCUUCUACUGCAGCCACUCAUUCACAAACCACAAGGUUGUGAGUUCAAUUCCAUCCUAGGGCU
rnacentral:tRNA from 1 species